rnacentral:rRNA from 1 species
GUGCCAGCAGCCGCGGUAAUACCGGCAGCUCAAGUGAUGUCCCAUAUUAUUGGGCCUAAAGCGUCCGUAGCUGGCCGGCCAAGUCUCACGGGAAAUCCACCCGCCCAACGGGUGGGCGUCCGGUAGAAACUGGCCGGCUUGGGACCGGAAGGCUCAGAGGGUACGUCCGGGGUAGGAGUGAAAUCCCGUAAUCCCGGACGGACCACCGAUGGCGAAAGCACUCUGAGAAGACGGCUCCGACAGUGAGGGACGAAAGCUAGGGUCUCAAACCGGAUUAGAAACCCCAGUAGUCC